AGCUCCGGUAGCCUAGUGGUUAGAGCGUCCGCUUUGGAUGCGAGAGGUCAUGGUUCUAUCCCCAAUCGAGUCA